GACGAACGCUGGCGGCGUGCCUAAUACAUGCAAGUCGAACGGAGGGGGGACGGGUGAGUAACAUGUGGGUAACCUCCCAUCAGAGGGGAUAACACGUGGAAACAGGUGCUAAACCGAUACUGAUGGAUGGAGCCGCGGGGCAUUAGGUAGUCGGUGAGGUAACGGCUCACCAAGGCCACGAUGAUUAGCCGGCCUGAGCGUGUGAUCAGCCACACUGGGACUGAGACACGGCCCAGACUCCUACGGGAGGCAGCAGUAGGGAAUCUUCCGCAAUGGACGAAAGUCUGACCGAGCAACGCCGCGUGAGUGAAGAAGGUUUUCGGAUCGUAAAACUCUGUUGUUAGAGAAGCGGUAUCUAACCAGAAAGCCACGGCUAACUCCGUGCCAGCAGCCGCGGUAAUUC
rnacentral:rRNA from 1 species